CCUACGGGGGACAGCAGUGAGGAAUAUUGGUAAAUGGACGAGAGUCUGAACCAGCCAAGUAGCGUGAAGGAUGACUGCCCUAUGGGUUGUAAACUUCUUUUAUAAAGGGAUAAAACGAGGCACGUGUGCCUUUUUGCAUGUACUUUAUGAAUAAGGAUCGGCUAACUCCGUGCCAGCAGCCGCGGUAAUACGGAGGAUUCAAGCGUUAUCCGGAUUUAUUGGGUUUAAAGAGAGCGUAGAUGGGUUGUUAAGUCAGUUGUGAAAGUUUGCGGCUCAACCUUAAAAUUGCAAUUGAUACUGGCCGUCUUGAGUACAGUUGAGGUAGGCGGAAUUCGUGGUGUAGCGGUGAAAUGCUUAGAUAUCAUGAAGAACCCCGAUUGCGAAGGCAGCUUACUAAGCUGUGACUGACAUUGAUGCUCGAAAGUGUGGGUAGCAAACAGGAUUAGAUACCCGAGUAGUC
rnacentral:rRNA from 1 species